UGCAGUCGAGCGGACAGAUGGGAGCUUGCUCCCUGAUGUUAGCGGCGGACGGGUGAGUAACACGUGGGUAACCUGCCUGUAAGACUGGGAUAACUCCGGGAAACCGGGGCUAAUACCGGAUGGUUGUUUGAACCGCAUGGUUCAGACAUAAAAGGUGGCUUCGGCUACCACUUACAGAUGGACCCGCGGCGCAUUAGCUAGUUGGUGAGGUAACGGCUCACCAAGGCGACGAUGCGUAGCCGACCUGAGAGGGUGAUCGGCCACACUGGGACUGAGACACGGCCCAGACUCCUACGGGAGGCAGCAGUAGGGAAUCUUCCGCAAUGGACGAAAGUCUGACGGAGCAACGCCGCGUGAGUGAUGAAGGUUUUCGGAUCGUAAAGCUCUGUUGUUAGGGAAGAACAAGUGCCGUUCAAAUAGGGCGGCACCUUGACGGUACCUAACCAGAAAGCCACGGCUAACUACGUGCCAGCAGCCGCGGUAAUACGUAGGUGGCAAGCGUUGUCCGGAAUUAUUGGGCGUAAAGGGCUCGCAGGCGGUUUCUUAAGUCUGAUGUGAAAGCCCCCGGCUCAACCGGGGAGGGUCAUUGGAAACUGGGGAACUUGAGUGCAGAAGAGGAGAGUGGAAUUCCACGUGUAGCGGUGAAAUGCGUAGAGAUGUGGAGGAACACCAGUGGCGAAGGCGACUCUCUGGUCUGUAACUGACGCUGAGGAGCGAAAGCGUGGGGAGCGAACAGGAUUAGAUACCCUGGUAGUCCACGCCGUAAACGAUGAGUGCUAAGUGUUAGGGGGUUUCCGCCCCUUAGUGCUGCAGCUAACGCAUUAAGCACUCCGCCUGGGGAGUACGGUCGCAAGACUGAAACUCAAAGGAAUUGACGGGGGCCCGCACAAGCGGUGGAGCAUGUGGUUUAAUUCGAAGCAACGCGAAGAACCUUACCAGGUCUUGACAUCCUCUGACAAUCCUAGAGAUAGGACGUCCCCUUCGGGGGCAGAGUGACAGGUGGUGCAUGGUUGUCGUCAGCUCGUGUCGUGAGAUGUUGGGUUAAGUCCCGCAACGAGCGCAACCCUUGAUCUUAGUUGCCAGCAUUCAGUUGGGCACUCUAAGGUGACUGCCGGUGACAACCCGAGG
rnacentral:rRNA from 1 species